GAUAUACCCCUAAUCCUGAACACAUUCAUACUUCUAACCCUAGCAACCCUCGUCACUCCUAUUGUAUUCCCACUCCUAUCCGACAACCUCAAAAACACUCCUACAAUUAUCACAAAUACGGUUAAAACCGCCUUCCUAAUCAGCCUAGUACCAAUAACAAUUCACAUCUACUCAGGAACAGAAAGCCUGACCUCCUUCUGAGAAUGAAAAUUCAUCAUAAACUUCAAAAUCCCAAUCAGCCUAAAAAUAGACUUCUACUCACUCACCUUCUUCCCCAUCGCACUGUUCGUGUCAUGAUCUAUCCUACAAUUUGCAACCUGAUAUAUAGCCUCAGACCCGUUCAUCACAAAAUUCUUCACCUACCUCCUAUUCUUCCUAAUCGCCAUACUAAUCCUAAUCAUCGCCAACAACCUAUUCGUCCUGUUCAUCGGUUGAGAAGGGGUAGGGAUUAUGUCGUUUCUACUCAUCAGCUGAUGACACGGACGAGCAGAAGCUAAUACUGCAGCCCUUCAGGCCGUACUCUACAACCGAGUCGGAGACGUAGGCCUAAUCCUAUGUAUAGCAUGACUAGCAUCUGCCAUGAACACCUGAGAAAUUCACCAACUCCCAACCACAGCCCAAACACCAACCCUACCCCUCCUAGGCCUCAUUCUAGCCGCAACAGGCAAAUCCGCCCAAUUUGGUCUACACCCAUGACUACCAGCCGCUAUAGAAGGACCAACCCCCGUAUCCGCCCUACUACACUCCAGCACAAUAGUCGUAGCCGGAAUCUUCCUACUCAUUCGAACCAACCCUCUAUUUAACAACAAUCAAACCGCCUUAACCCUAUGCCUAUGCCUGGGAGCCUUAACCACACUAUUUGCAGCUACGUGCGCUCUCACCCAAAACGACAUUAAAAAAAUCAUCGCAUUCUCUACUUCAAGCCAACUAGGACUAAUAAUAGUUACAAUCGGACUAAACCUCCCUGAGCUAGCCUUCCUUCACAUUUCAACCCAUGCAUUCUUCAAAGCCGUACUUUUCCUAUGCUCAGGCUCUAUCAUCCACAGCCUAAAUGGUGAACAGGACAUUCGGAAAAUAGGCGGACUCCAAAAGAUACUACCUACAACCACCUCUUGCCUUACCAUCGGCAAGUUAUCCCUAAUAGGAACACCAUUCCUAGCAGGAUUCUACUCAAAAGACCAAAUCAUUGAAAGCCUGAACACAUCCUACCUAAAUACCUGAGCCCUCCUAAUAACUCUCCUAGCCACAUCAUUCACCGCAGUAUACACAAUUCGCAUGACCGUACUAGUACAGAGCGGCUUCGUUCGAAUUCCGCCCUUAGCCCCAAUCAAUGAAAACAACCCAGCAAUUACUUCCCCCAUCACCCGCCUAGCACUUGGUAGCAUCACUGCAGGAUUCCUCAUUACCUCAUACAUCAUUCCCACAAAAACCCCACCAAUAACUAUACCUCUGUCCGUUAAAAUAACAGCCCUCGCAGUGACAGUACUAGGAAUCGCCCUAGCCUUAGAAAUCUCAAAAACGACUCAAAUACAUAUUCUAACAAAACAAGCCCCCCUCUCAAACUUCUCCAUCUCCCUAGGGUAUUUCAACCCCCUAACACACCGCUUCACCUCAACCAACCUCCUAAACGGAGGACAAAAAAUUGCCUCCCACCUAAUAGACCUAUCCUGAUAUAAAAUGCUAGGCCCAGAAGGACUAGCCAACCUGCAACUAGCAGCAUCCAAAGCUUUAACCACCCUCCACUCUGGCCUAAUCAAGGCCUACCUAGGAUCAUUCGCCCUAUCCAUCCUCAUCAUCCUCAUGUCUUCAUACAGAACCACCUAAUGGCCCCCAAUCUUCGUAAAAACCACCAAAUCCUAAAAAUCAUCAAUGACGCCCUAAUUGAUCUCCCCACACCAUCCAACAUUUCAACAUGAUGGAACUUCGGAUCACUAUUAGGUAUCUGCUUAAUUUCCCAAAUUGUCACAGGUCUGCUACUAGCCACACACUAUACAGCAGACACCAACCUAGCAUUCUCCUCCGUCGCCCAUAUAUGCCGAGACGUCCAAUUUGGCUGACUAAUCCGUAACCUCCAUGCAAACGGAGCCUCACUCUUCUUCAUCUGCAUCUACCUACACAUCGGCCGAGGACUCUACUACGGCUCAUACCUAAACAAAGAAACCUGAAACAUCGGAGUAGUUCUACUUCUAACCCUUAUGGCAACCGCCUUCGUAGGAUACGUCCUGCCAUGAGGCCAAAUAUCCUUCUGAGGAGCUACAGUCAUCACAAACCUAUUCUCAGCAAUCCCCUACAUCGGACAAACAUUAGUCGAAUGAGCCUGAGGCGGAUUCUCAGUAGAUAACCCCACAUUAACCCGAUUCUUUGCCCUCCACUUCUUACUCCCAUUCGUCAUCGUAGGCCUCACACUAGUUCACCUCACAUUCCUACACGAAACAGGAUCGAACAACCCACUAGGAAUUCCCUCAGACUGCGACAAAAUUCCUUUCCACCCAUACUACACUGUAAAAGACAUCCUAGGAUUCGCACUAAUACUUAUUCUAUUAGUCUCCCUAGCCCUAUUCUCCCCUAACCUCCUAGGAGACCCAGAAAAUUUCACGCCAGCCAACCCCUUAGUAACACCUCCCCACAUCAAACCCGAAUGAUAUUUCUUAUUCGCCUACGCCAUCCUACGAUCCAUUCCAAACAAACUAGGAGGGGUAUUGGCCCUAGCCGCCUCAAUCCUUGUACUAUUCCUAACUCCGCUCCUCCACACAUCAAAGCUACGAUCCAUAACCUUCCGUCCCCUCUCCCAAAUCCUGUUCUGGACCCUAGUUGCCAACGUACUAGUCCUCACCUGAGUAGGCAGCCAACCAGUAGAACACCCAUUCAUUAUCAUCGGUCAACUAGCUUCACUAUCAUACUUCACAAUUAUCCUAGUAUUAUUCCCCCUUGUAGCCAUCCUAGAGAACAAGCUACUUAAACUCUAAUUAAACCCCAAUAAA